AUUAUUUAUAAAUGCGCGUGGAUCGCCCACUGGUCUAAAUUCGACCGCAAUUCAUAAAUAUAAUGUUUUGCACUCUUCUAUAUAAACUUUAAUAAUGCCAAGUCUCACCUCCCCACAUAUGCUCAAAAAAGAGUACAAUGUUUUUUUUUUUCACAUAUUAAUAUAUAGAUUUUACAGAAUAAUAAUCUAUAAACAAAUAUUAAUUAUAAAAAUAAAUAUUAAUUUUAUCAGUUUUAACAAAAACUGACUGUUGUCAUUUCCUGAUCUUGGGUGAUAAGUUUCUGAAGUGAGAAAGAACACAAGACUCGCCUAAUUUUUAUAUAUUUUGUCUUAUAAAUGAUGAAAAAAAUUCACAGACCUGUUCUGAGUAAUGAGGAUACCUUUACAUUUAACUGAUCGUUCUAAUAAUACAUUGCUAUUUAUUUGUAAAUUUACAGCAACUUAUGAUCCUUCUUUCUCUUUCAGAUUGAUACCUACAACAAAGGGGGUUUUGGAAGAUGGGAUGAUGCAACAGUUUUGGAAGUUUCAGCGAGUUUUCAAGUAUUUGAGGUCACGACUCUGAGGAGAAUGGAGAAUGCAAUGUCAUUGGUAUGUACUUUGGUGACUGUAGAAUCUUGUGUUAAUUGUGAAAUGUGUAAUAAAGAAUAUAUUUGACUC